rnacentral:rRNA from 1 species
UACGUAGGGGGCAAGCGUUGUCCGGAUUUAUUGGGCGUAAAGAGCGUGUAGGCGGCCAUACAGGUCAGCUGUGAAAACUCGAGGCUCAACCUCGAGACGUCGGUUGAAACCGUUUGGCUAGAGUCCGGAAGAGGAGAGUGGAAUUCCCGGUGUAGCGGUGAAAUGCGCAGAUAUCGGGAAGAACACCCGUGGCGAAGGCGGCUCUCUGAGACGGUACUGACGCUGAGACGCGAAAGCGUGGGGAGCGAACAGG